UCAAGCAGGGGUGUCUCGCGACUGUGCUUGCUCUCUGUGUGUGUGCCCCUGUAUGUGUGUGUGUGUCUUCUUACACAGAGUGCAUUCCCCCCCCGCCACCCACACACACACACACAAAAACACACGCACACGCCCCAGCAAUCGCCUUUGGCGCUGUUUUCAAAAGGUUAGCUUCCCUCGCCGCUUGCCGUUGCUUCUUCCUCUUGUUCGCCUGGCCACAGCACAGCCCCAACACGUAGCCAUGCAACCGCCACCACCACCGAUGACGCCAUACGAGGAGAACAUCACGCGGUCGUACCAGUACCUUAACGGUGCCCGGAUGCAGUCAGCGAUUCUCUUUAACAGCACCACGUUCUGCAUCGAUCGCUGCCUCGAUACGCAGGAACUGUACACCUUGAUGCGCACGACGAACGCUCCGAUUUCGUAUCGCCUCCAGAAGGAUAUGGAGGAGAAGAAGUGCGUGCAAAACUGCAGUGCCAAGUGGGACGAGCUCUUUAACAUCACCCUCACGGAAACAAACGAAGGCGCUGUUCGCCAGGUGCAAGCGGACGCUAUCGCGAAGAUGAUGGGGGCAAUGCAGCAGUAGCAGUGGGUGCGCUCUGCCCGGAGGGGUAGGGGAGGAAGGAAUAGAAAAAAGUGCCGAUACGUACCAGGAGUGUGGAAGAGUGCGUGUGUGUGUGUGGGCGGUGCGGACGUGUGAGCAGGGAUACUGUCGCUCGUUUUGCUUGUAGGUGUCUUGCACAAACCCCUCCGACCGUUGCGUGUCUGUGCCUGUGGCUGAUGUUGGUGUUGGUGUUGGUGUUGGUGUCGGUUUACUGGGUUACCCCUUCCCUUUCUUAAAAAAAAAGGAUGUGUGAUACACAUUUGCCGUGUGGCAAGCAUAAUCACACAUGAAAAGUCACGGCCCGCAUUGAGAGAUGCUCACACACACACACACAGA
rnacentral:misc_RNA from 1 species